rnacentral:rRNA from 1 species
GACGAACGCUGGCGGCGUGCCUAAUACAUGCAAGUUGAGCGCUGAAGGUUGGUACUUGUACCAACUGGAUGAGCAGCGCACGGGUGAGUAACGCGUGGGGAAUCUGCCUUUGAGCGGGGGACAUCAUUUGGAAACGAAUGCUAAUACCGCAUAAAAACUUUAAACACAAGUUUUAAGUUUGAAAGAUGCAAUUGCAUCACUCAAAGAUGAUCCCUCGUUGUAUUAGCUAGUUGGUGAGGUAAAGGCUCACCAAGGCGAUGAUACAUAGCCGACCUGAGAGGGUGAUCGGCCACAUUGGGACUGAGACACGGCCCAAACUCCUACAGGAGGCAGCAGUAGGGAAUCUUCGGCAAUGGACGAAAGUCUGACCGAGCAACGCCGCGUGAGUGAAGAAGGUUUUCGGAUCGUAAAACUCUGUUGGUAGAGAAGAACGUUGGUGAGAGUGGAAAGCUCAUCAAGUGACGGUAACUACCCAGAAAGGGACGGCUAACUACGUG